GAUGAACGCUAGCUACAGGCCUAACACAUGCAAGUCGAGGGGCAUCGGGAGGGAAGCUUGCUUCCCUUGCCGGCGACCGGCGCACGGGUGAGUAACGCGUAUCGAACCUGCCCCAUACCCGGGGAUAGCCUUGCGAAAGUAAGAUUAAUACCCGAUGGCUUCCUUUUGCCUCCUGACAAAGGGAAUAAAGAAUUUCGGUAUGGGAUGGCGAUGCGUCCGAUUAGCUGGUUGGCGGGGUAACGGCCCACCAAGGCGACGAUCGGUAGGGUUCUGAGAGGAAGGUCCCCCACAUUGGAACUGAGACACGGUCCAAACUCCUACGGGAGGCAGCAGUGAGGAAUAUGGUCAAUGGGCGAAAGCCUGAACCAGCCAAGUAGCGUGCAGGAUGACGGCCCUAUGGGUUGUAAACUGCUUUUAGGCGGGGUAAAGUGGCGGACGUGUU
rnacentral:rRNA from 1 species